AUGUCUGGCCAGGCACGCUUCGCCCACACCGACCCGUCCCACCGUCCUCGCACCAGCCACGGCGUGGUCGUCUCCUCCCCGGCCACGGAUCACCAGGUGUUCGUCCUGCGCCAGCACGCGGUCACCCUGACCGCGCCCGAGGGGCCUGGCGCGGCUAGCCCUCUGCUGGUGGGGCGCGCGUUUGAGGAGCAACUGCGCGUCCCGCCGCACCUCCUACGUGUCACGGCCCACCACCCCGAGCCCUUCUUCGUCUACUUCGAGCUUCCUACACUCUGCGACAACGCCGUGGCAAGGGGCUUCGUC
rnacentral:rRNA from 1 species